rnacentral:rRNA from 1 species
AUUGAACGCUGGCGGCAGGCUUAACACAUGCAAGUCGAGCGGUAGCACAAGAGAGCUUGCUCUCUGGGUGACGAGCGGCGGACGGGUGAGUAAUGUCUGGGAAACGGCCUGAUGGAGGGGGAUAACUACUGGAAACGGUAGCUAAUACCGCAUAACGUCGCAAGACCAAAGAGGGGGACCUUCGGGCCUCUUGCCAUCAGACGUGCCCAGAUGGGAUUAGCUAGUAGGUGGGGUAAUGGCUCACCUAGGCGACGAUCCCUAGCUGGUCUGAGAGGAUGACCAGCCACACUGGAACUGAGACACGGUCCAGACUCCUACGGGAGGCAGCAGUGGGGAAUAUUGCACAAUGGGCGCAAGCCUGAUGCAGCCAUGCCGCGUGUGUGAAGAAGGCCUUCGGGUUGUAAAGCACUUUCAGCGAGGAGGAAGGUGGUGAACUUAAUACGUUCAUCAAUUGACGUUACUCGCAGAAGAAGCACCGGCUAACUCCGUG